rnacentral:rRNA from 1 species
GAUGAACGCUGGCGGCGUGCCUAACACAUGCAAGUCGAGCGAGAUGUAUAUGGACGAAACUUCGGUCUAGGAAAUAUAUUGACAGCGGCGGACGGGUGAGUAACGCGUAGGCAACCUGCCCUUAACACAGGGAUAGCCUCGGGAAACCGGGAUUAAAACCUGAUAAUGCCAAAUAGUCACAUGGCUGUUUGGCCAAAGAUUUAUCGGUUAAGGAUGGGCCUGCGUCUGAUUAGUUUGUUGGUGGGGUAACGGCCUACCAAGACUACGAUCAGUAGCCGACCUGAGAGGGUGAUCGGCCACAUUGGAACUGAGACACGGUCCAAACUCCUACGGGAGGCAGCAGUGGGGAAUAUUGCACAAUGGGCGAAAGCCUGAUGCAGCAACGCCGCGUGAGCGAUGAAGGCCUUUGGGUUGUAAACCUCUUUCAGCUAUGACGAAGCGCAAGUGACGGUAGUAGCAGAAGAAGGACCGGCCAACUACGUGCCAGCCGCCGCGGUAA